CCCACUUCCCAAUCGCUCGACCUUGGAGCAGAGGCCUUAAGGGACACGGGGACGGGGCGGAGCCUGCGCAGAUGACCGGGCGCGGCCGCGGCCGGGAGGCAGGAAGGAGCGGAGUCUGGGUACAUCGUGAGUAGAGGGUGCCUGCACGACCAGCCCCGAUGAAAGCCUGGGCACCGAGUCUCCGGUGAGCUGCCCUGGUGGCCGGCACUUCACACACGUUGUUGCAACUUGUUGUUGGGGGCGGAGUGUGUCUUGAGCGACUUCUCAGGGAGAGGACUCGAAGUUGGCGCCUGCUUUCCUCUGAUUUUGCCCCAAGUCUUCCCUUUGCUGAUUUUGAUUAAUAUCCUUCCCCUUGAAUCUUGGUUAUGAGCAUUAAUUACAUGUGCUGAAUUCUG